GAUGAACGCUGGCGGCGUGCCUAAUACAUGCAAGUCGAGCGAACAGACGAGGAGCUUGCUCCUCUGACGUUAGCGGCGGACGGGUGAGUAACACGUGGAUAACCUACCUAUAAGACUGGGAUAACUUCGGGAAACCGGAGCUAAUACCGGAUAAUAUAUUGAACCGCAUGGUUCAAUAGUGAAAGACGGUUUUGCUGUCACUUAUAGAUGGAUCCGCGCCGCAUUAGCUAGUUGGUAAGGUAACGGCUUACCAAGGCGACGAUGCGUAGCCGACCUGUGAGAGUGAUCGGCCACACUGGAACUGAGACACGGUCCAGACUCCUACGGGAGGCAGCAGUAGGGAAUCUUCCGCAAUGGGCGAAAGCCUGACGGAGCAACGCCGCGUGAGUGAUGAAGGUCUUCGGAUCGUAAAACUCUGUUAUUAGGGAAGAACAAAUGUGUAAGUAGCUAUGCACGUCUUGACGGUACCUAAUCAGAAAGCCACGGCUAACUACGUG
rnacentral:rRNA from 1 species